UUCAAUAAACUGACAACUUAUCAUUUUUCACAGCCAACUUAAACAUGAAAUCUGCAUUAGGGACACCAAUUGAUUUCAACAAAACCAAUUUGUUAACUAUCACGAACACCUUGACAAAUUUGGCAUCUCAUCAAACCAUGAUUCAUUACUUGAAUCCUGAUCCUGCGAAAUCCCAAACGACUCAAUUGAGUCUACAAAUAGUGAGGCAAAACCCGUAUUGCAAGACUCAUAUCCAUAUUAUACCAAACCUACAGCAAUACCUAAGCUAGUGUAUAUUCAAUAACUAACAUAUCUUGAAUCAGCUAUGUUUAGCAAAGUUUGAACAUAGAUCUUAAAGCAAAAAUAAAUAAUCACAUGGAUAUAUAAAACCUAAACUAGAAGAAACACCAAUCCUAAACUAUUAUGUAAUCCACCAUCACUUGAUCACAUAUUUAGGGGUAGGGGAUAAGAAGCAUAACUCCCUAAAUAAAAAUAGAAACAACUCAAUAAACUACACACAGCCACAAUUACUACUCAAAACUCUAUAACGCCAUUUUGAUUCCAUGCCAAAGCUUUACAUUGAAUGGAAAAUAAAGGCGUGUACCUGAUUACAGCAUUAAACAAAGAAAAUUAUGAGCUUAGGAGACAACAACAGUAAUAAACCAAAACAGUAGAACUCAACAGCAACAAGAACAGUCCCAGAUUCAAUCAAAUACCUAAUGAAAUCAACUCAAACACCAAUGAAACAAUGACCUUGACUCAGAACUCGACCAUAUACUUUAAAAGAAUAACAAGUUCAAGUCAUUUCACACACCCACUAAACCAAAUAUUACCUUAACAAGUUGGAUUUCAAAAUCAGAAAUGGAGCUCAAUGGAACAACGAUUUUCUUCACUUUUAGCCGUUCUCUUUUAUGAGUUUCUUCGCUUUUUUCUUCUUUUUUUUUCCCCUUGAGCCUAAAGUAACAAUGCCUUUAUAGGCAAGUUGCUAAGGCAGCCUUAAGGGUUUAGUUUUGCAAUUGAGCACUUUUGAUAUUUUGGUUUUUGCUUAG
rnacentral:lncRNA from 1 species